rnacentral:rRNA from 1 species
GACGAACCGUGCGAACGUUGUUCGGAUUCACUGGGCUUAAAGGGCGCGUAGGCGGGUGAUCAAGUCCGGGGUGAAAUACUCCAGCUUAACUGGAGAAUAGCCCUGGAUACUGGUCGUCUUGAGGGAGGUAGGGGCAUGUGGAACUUCCGGUGGAGCGGUGAAAUGCGUAGAUAUCGGAAGGAACGCCGGUGGCGAAGGCGGGUCUCUGGGCAGUAACUGACGCUGAGGAGCGAAAGCGUGGGGGAGCGAACAGG